rnacentral:rRNA from 1 species
GAUGAACGCUGGCGGCGUGCCUAAUACAUGCAAGUCGAGCGAACGGACGAGAAGCUUGCUUCUCUGAUGUUAGCGGCGGACGGGUGAGUAACACGUGGAUAACCUACCUAUAAGACUGGGAUAACUUCGGGAAACCGGAGCUAAUACCGGAUAAUAUUUUGAACCGCAUGGUUCAAAAGUGAAAGACGGUCUUGCUGUCACUUAUAGAUGGAUCCGCGCUGCAUUAGCUAGUUGGUAAGGUAACGGCUUACCAAGGCAACGAUGCAUAGCCGACCUGAGAGGGUGAUCGGCCACACUGGAACUGAGACACGGUCCAGACUCCUACGGGAGGCAGCAGUAGGGAAUCUUCCGCAAUGGGCGAAAGCCUGACGGAGCAACGCCGCGUGAGUGAUGAAGGUCUUCGGAUCGUAAAACUCUAUUAUUAGGGAAGGACAUACGUGUAAGUAACUGUGCACAUCUUGACGGUACCUAAUCAGAAAGCCACGGCUAACUACGUG